GAUGAACGCUGGCUGCGUGCCUAAUACAUGCAAGUCGAGCGAACGGACGAGAAGCUUGCUUCUCUGAUGUUAGCGGCGGACGGGUGAGUAACACGUGGAUAACCUACCUAUAAGACUGGGAUAACUUCGGGAAACCGGAGCUAAUACCGGAUAAUAUUUUGAACCGCAUGGUUCAAAAGUGAAAGACGGUCUUGCUGUCACUUAUAGAUGGAUCCGCGCUGCAUUAGCUAGUUGGUAAGGUAACGGCUUACCAAGGCAACGAUGCAUAGCCGACCUGAGAGGGUGAUCGGCCACACUGGAACUGAGACACGGUCCAGACUCCUACGGGAGGCAGCAGUAGGGAAUCUUCCGCAAUGGGCGAAAGCCUGACGGAGCAACGCCGCGUGAGUGAUGAAGGUCUUCGGAUCGUAAAACUCUGUUAUUAGGGAAGAACAUAUGUGUAAGUAACUGUGCACAUCUUGACGGUACCUAAUCAGAAAGCCACGGCUAACUACGUGCCAGCAGCCGCGGUAAUACGUAGGUGGCAAGCGUUAUCCGGAAUUAUUGGGCGUAAAGCGCGCGUAGGCGGUUUUUUAAGUCUGAUGUGAAAGCCCACGGCUCAACCGUGGAGGGUCAUUGGAAACUGGAAAACUUGAGUGCAGAAGAGGAAAGUGGAAUUCCAUGUGUAGCGGUGAAAUGCGCAGAGAUAUGGAGGAACACCAGUGGCGAAGGCGACUUUCUGGUCUGUAACUGACGCUGAUGUGCGAAAGCGUGGGGAUCAAACAGGAUUAGAUACCCUGGUAGUCCACGCCGUAAACGAUGAGUGCUAAGUGUUAGGGGGUUUCCGCCCCUUAGUGCUGCAGCUAACGCAUUAAGCACUCCGCCUGGGGAGUACGACCGCAAGGUUGAAACUCAAAGGAAUUGACGGGGACCCGCACAAGCGGUGGAGCAUGUGGUUUAAUUCGAAGCAACGCGAAGAACCUUACCAAAUCUUGACAUCCUUUGACAGCUCUAGAGAUAGAGCCUUCCCCUUCGGGGGACAAAGUGACAGGUGGUGCAUGGUUGUCGUCAGCUCGUGUCGUGAGAUGUUGGGUUAAGUCCCGCAACGAGCGCAACCCUUAAGCUUAGUUGCCAUCAUUAAGUUGGGCACUCUAAGUUGACUGCCGGUGACAAACCGGAGGAAGGUGGGGAUGACGUCAAAUCAUCAUGCCCCUUAUGAUUUGGGCUACACACGUGCUACAAUGGACAAUACAAAGGGCAGCGAAACCGCGAGGUCAAGCAAAUCCCAUAAAGUUGUUCUCAGUUCGGAUUGUAGUCUGCAACUCGACUACAUGAAGCUGGAAUCGCUAGUAAUCGUAGAUCAGCAUGCUACGGUGAAUACGUUCCCGGGUCU
rnacentral:rRNA from 1 species